UUAGAACAUUCUGAGUCAUUUCCUGUUUGUUUAUUGUCAGGAGAGCAGAGAUCUUGUCUGUCUUAUUCACUGAUAGACCUACUAAAGAUUCAUCAACCAUUACAUGAAUUAAUGAAUCAGUAAUAUUUUUCAGGACCUCCGAUGUGCAAAGCCUUAGGCCACAACACACGACACUUCUCUCAUGAGAAGCUCAUCCAAAACCAAACCGAUGGAUCUUGUCCGCAUUGUGGUACAUAUUCUAUUUACUUGAUCUUGGACUUCGUCAUAGCUAAUCCCCACAAUUCUCCGGUGAGGUAAAGAUCACACGUCCCAUUUCUUAGAUGAUCAGAGGACCUGCCCAAAGCCCAAGGUCACCCAGUACUGGUUCCAAGGUAAGUUAUCCAUCUACGGAGCCUGGGAAUUUUUAACAAGUCACUACCUGAUCGAAAUAGACCAGUUGACGUCAUAACACUGCAUUCUAAUAUUUUGGCUAAGGCAACAAUUUUAAUACUAAUCUCCAUUAGAUUUUAUUUAUGAGUGAAUAGUACAAGUAUCCCAGAAAUUAAAGCCAGGGAUUCGUAUUGAGAAUUGAGUAUUUCUCCAUAAACCAAAUGGCUUCAGAACCACCCGACUGGUUUCCCAACUGACAAAACUCUACUCCAGCUUGUGAUUUUUUAUCCCCGCUGCUACGUGGUUGGAAGGACCCUCACUUGAAGUCCAUGGUCACAUUCCGAGGAUCAUUUCCUCUUAGAAGUUUUGACUUGCAUCUGGUACAGCCCAUCAGAGUAAGGACUAGAUAGAUUGUGAAGGGCCCACGUGAGUUGCCAAGCCCAAGUGAAGGACUUAAUUUCCUUUCCGUUGACCUGUGUUGGAUUUCUCUUGUUCUACCCUUGCACCUCCCAGAGGCCACUGUGGACAGAACUCAGAUAGAGGAUCUGAAAGUAACCUGGCCACAAAAAAAAAAUACCAAUCCCUGCCACCCCUUCGCAGACUCACUUUAUAUCUGAGGAAAAGAAUGCCGAUGCUGAAAUACUUCCAAAGUUCAACAGAUUGGGAAAUUCAAAGGCAGGGGGUGGGGUGGGGAGUAGCCCUGAUUUCCAAAGAUAUGAAGAGAGGACUCUGCUCUCUGAGGAUGAGAGGAAGUAAGACGACCCUAUUCAUGGCUGCAGGAGAGGAAAAGAAAAGAGUCCCACAAGGAAACUACCAACAGAUGGGUUGA
rnacentral:lncRNA from 1 species